AAGUCGUAACAAGGUAUCCGUAGGUGAACCUGCGGAUGGAUCAUUACCAAUUUUAUAUACUAGUGUGUAUGCCGCUGUCAAAGGUGGUACUACACUACUACUAUUAUGUAAACGUUGAACUAGAUCAAUUGGUGUGGAUUGCUUGGGAAUGGACGAAGCGACAAGCCUCUUCCGGACAGGCAAACCCCACACUGAUAACCUUUUCAAUAUAAUUUACUAGUACAUACUACAAACAAACAAACAAACAAAAGCUAUAAUAGGACUUAUAAACAGGCUGAGUGGGUAAAAUCCUCGGCUUAACCAAUAUAACUAUUACAACUUUCAGCAAUGGAUCUCUAGGCUCUC
rnacentral:misc_RNA from 1 species